rnacentral:rRNA from 1 species
AGCGAACGCUGGCGGCAGGCCUAACACAUGCAAGUCGAACGAAGUCUUCGGACUUAGUGGCGGACGGGUGAGUAACACGUGGGAACGUACCUUUUGGUUCGGAACAACUCAGGGAAACUUGAGCUAAUACCGGAUGAGCCCUUAGGGGGAAAGAUUUAUCGCCGAAAGAGCGGCCCGCGUUAGAUUAGCGAGUUGGUGAGGUAAAGGCUCACCAAGGCUACGAUCUAUAGCUGGUCUGAGAGGAUGAUCAGCCACACGGGGACUGAGACACGGCCCAGACUCCUACGGGAGGCAGCAGUGGGGAAUCUUGCGCAAUGGGCGAAAGCCUGACGCAGCCAUGCCGCGUGAAUGAUGAAGGUCUUAGGAUUGUAAAAUUCUUUUACCAGGGACGAUAAUGACGGUACCUGGAGAAAAAGCCCCGGCUAACUUCGUGCCAGCCGCCGCGGUAAAAC